rnacentral:rRNA from 1 species
AUUGAACGCUGGCGGCAUGCCUUACACAUGCAAGUCGAACGGUAACAGGUCUUCGGAUGCUGACGAGUGGCGAACGGGUGAGUAAUACAUCGGAACGUGCCUAGUAGUGGGGGAUAACUACUCGAAAGAGUGGCUAAUACCGCAUGAGAUCUACGGAUGAAAGCAGGGGAUCGCAAGACCUUGUGCUACUAGAGCGGCCGAUGGCAGAUUAGGUAGUUGGUGGGAUAAAAGCUUACCAAGCCGACGAUCUGUAGCUGGUCUGAGAGGACGAUCAGCCACACUGGGAAUGAGAAACGGCCCAGACUCCUACGGGAGGCAGCAAUGGGGAAUUUUGGACAAUGGGCGAAAGCCUGAUCCAGCAAUGCCGCGUGCAGGAUGAAGGCCUUCGGGUUGUAAACUGCUUUUGUACGGAAAGAAAAGCCCUGGGUUAAUACCCUGGGGUCAUGACGGUACCGUAAGAAUAAGCACCGGCUAACUACGUGCCAGCCGCCGCCGUAAGAC